CACAGCCCUCUCUCCCUGCCACAGCCAGCUGGGGUUCCUGGUGAUGCGAUUUUUUUACCCACUGCCCAAAAUCACAUUGCCAGGGAUUUCCAACUGGCUGCGAGCCCCAGCGCCAAGGAGAC
rnacentral:pre_miRNA from 14 species